GAUUUUAAUUAUUUACUCCUAUGGUGAUGGUUUUGGUAUUAUCUUCAGUCAACUGUUUUUUGAGGCUGAAUUUCUGGUUGUUUCUGGAUAGUUUACUACUGAGGAUUCUUCACUAGCUGCUCUUGAAAUUCCCAUUUCUAUUGUCAAAGCUGUUUGGAUGGGAGUUUUCUCCUUCCCAGCCAGGCUUCUCCCCUUAGAUCAGCAAUGCCAGGAACUCCUAAUCCUGUGUCCCUGACAUCACAAAUGUUGCCAUGGCAGUGUUUGAGAGCAAGCAGUCAACGGCCUGUUUUUUCUGCAGAAACCAGAUAGACGAAAAGAUGAAAUCAGAAGGAGCACUAACAUUCAUAUGACAUGCACACAUACAAAUGCACUGCCUUGUGUGGGAGUGGAAUCCCCACCUCUACACAAAACCAUGGUUCACUCCUUUGUCCAAGCAGUGUGAAAAGAGUUAAUAAGACAGGUCCAAGAGGGGGGGUUGGCAAAACUACCCAUAAAAUGACUGCAUGAUGGGAGCGUUUACCCAGGGAGGCUACAUCCACUCCUUAUAUUCAAAGUGCCCUCUGCCUGAACUCUUCAAACCUGGCACAGAAAUUUCUGGUAAAGUUUACAAUACAGAUGGUUUAUGGAAAUAAAGUGGCACUAGGAAUGUUUUGACUAACGGUGCCAGUUCAAACCCACAUAAGUCAUGCAAUGAAUUGUUAUGGUUUGAAAAGAGUUGCUUGCAUUUUGUUUUUUUAAAGCACUAAUUAAAUGACAUAUAAAGCUACUAAAAUCUUAGGUCAGGGAGAGUGCCAAAAUGGACAUUAUAAAAAUGUUCACUUUGGUAUUAAUUCCGUGUUUAUGGGGCGUCUCAUGUCUCUAAAACCUCCCUAGACCAUUAUUAAUCAUAACCUAUCAAGUACAUUCAUCACAUAUUUUUCCUGUCAUAUGCCAAAGAAUGUCUUAUUAAUUAAGAGGGUGAAAAAUUGGAAAGGUUCCUCUUCUCU